GACUCAUCACGUGACUCGCUCCGGCCGCAGCCCCCUCGGAAGCUGCUAGGCGGAAGUAGAAGUUCAGAAGAGGGCUAGGCGGAGCCGAGCCCACAUCCGGGAGAGGAGAGCGGAAGUGGCGUUGGUCUGGCCGGAGCCCUUGGGUGAAAUUGUUAGGCGUGGAGAGGGAGUGAUGUCUUCCAGACUCGGUGCUGUACCCGCCACUUCGGGACCCACAACCUUUAAGCAGCAGAGGAGCACGAGGAUCGUGGGAGCUAAGAAUAGCAGGACCCAGUGCUCCAUAAAGGAUAAUAGUUUCCAGUACACUAUCCCUCAUGAUGACUCCUUAAGUGGUUCAUCGUCUGCAUCUUCGUGUGAACCAGUGAGUGAUUUUCCAGCAUCUUUCCGAAAAUCUACCUACUGGAUGAAGAUGAGAAGAAUCAAGCCAGCUGCUACUUCGCAUGUCGAAGGGUCAGGUGGAGUAUCAGCCAAGGGGAAAAGGAAACCCAGGCAGGAAGAAGAUGAAGACUAUCGAGAAUUUCCUCAGAAGAAGCAUAAGCUUUAUGGGAGGAAGCAACGGCCUAAAACUCAGCCCAAUCCCAAAUCCCAGGCCCGUCGUAUUCGGAAGGAACCACCAGUUUAUGCAGCAGGCAGUUUGGAGGAGCAAUGGUACUUAGAAAUCGUUGAUAAAGGCAGUGUCUCCUGCCCUACCUGCCAGGCAGUGGGGAGGAAGACCAUAGAGGGUUUAAAGAAACACAUGGAAAACUGCAAGCAGGAAAUGUUUACUUGUCAUCAUUGUGGGAAACAACUUCGUUCACUGGCAGGGAUGAAGUAUCAUGUCAUGGCAAAUCAUAAUAGUUUGCCCAUUUUGAAAGCCGGAGAUGAAAUAGAUGAGCCAAGUGAGAGGGAAAGGCUCCGAACAGUUCUAAAGAGACUGGGAAAGCUCAGGUGCAUGCGUGAGAGUUGCUCCAGUAGCUUCACCAGCAUCAUGGGAUAUCUCUACCAUGUCAGAAAAUGUGGCAAAGGGGCUGCAGAGCUGGAAAAGAUGACCCUGAAAUGUCACCACUGUGGAAAACCAUAUAGGUCGAAGGCUGGACUUGCGUAUCACCUGAGGUCAGAGCAUGGGCCUAUAUCCUUCUUUCCAGAGUCAGGACAGCCAGAGUGCUUAAAGGAGAUGAACCUAGAGUCAAAGAGUGGGGGCCGAGUUCAGAGACGUUCUGCCAAGAUAGCUGUAUACCACCUGCAGGAGCUGGCCUCUGCUGAACUGGCCAAGGAAUGGCCCAAGAGGAAGGUGCUUCAGGACCUGGUACCUGAUGAUCGAAAGUUAAAAUAUACUCGUCCAGGGCUACCUACCUUCAGCCAGGAAGUACUACAUAAAUGGAAGACAGAUAUCAAGAAAUAUCAUCGUAUUCAGUGUCCUAACCAGGGCUGUGAGGCUGUCUACAGCAGUGUAUCUGGCCUUAAAGCUCACCUGGGCUCUUGUACAUUGGGAAACUUUGUGGCUGGAAAAUACAAAUGUCUUCUAUGUCAGAAAGAAUUUGUGUCAGAGAGUGGUGUCAAGUAUCACAUCAACUCUGUCCAUGCUGAGAAAAUUUCAAACACAUGAAAGUAGAGAAAAUAGCAUAAUGAACCCAGUAUGCUGUCAGCCAUCCUCAGCAAUCAUCAGUGUAUGGCCAAUCUUGUGUCAUUUAUAACCUCACUUUUCUCCUCCCUUAAAGGCUUACUUUAAAGCAAAUUCCACAUAAAAUUUCAGCUGACUGGUUCGUUGUAAACCCAACAACAACCAAAAGCUUUGAAAAGCUGAUGAAGAUAAAGCAGCGGCAGCAAGAAGAAGAAAAGCGGAGGCAGCAGCACAGGAGCAGAAGGUCUCUAAGAAGGCGGCAGCAGCCUGGCAUUGAGCUUCCCGAGACAGAGCUGAGUCUUAGAGUAGGGAAGGAUCAGAGGAGGAAUAAUGAGGAACUGGUAGUGUCAGCCUCCUGUAAGGAACCAGAGCAGGAGCCAGUGCCAGCACAGUUCCAGAAAGUAAAGCCCCCAAAGACUAAUCAUAAACGAGGAAGGAAAUAGGCAGUCAGUGUAAAAGUGCUCCUAGGAAAGCAGAUGUGAUGCUGUUGUCACGGGGACCUGUGCUGGGAGGACUGAGUGAAGAUUCUUUCAGCUGUUUGUGUAAGGCUGUGACUUUCUCAGCUCCUUCCUCCUGUGUAAAUUUCACUGUCUUCCCUUCUUACACUUUGAUUCCCCCUCCCCUUUUAGUAGGUUUUCCUGCUAUUCCUCGUCAAGUCCUCUUGUUUUUUUAUCUUGCCCAAAGAGCUCCCUCUCAAGGCCAACUAUAGGCUCCUCUUGCCCUGUACAAAACUAAGAAACCUCUUUGGUUGUCCUUUCCUUCCUGGGGUAUAGAAUGUUCUUGGAAGCUCCAUGAUUUAGUAGCUGCUCCAUCAUCUAGCUUGUGAAACCAUUCCAAACUAAUUUUUUAAAACCAUAACUGAUUUGUCAUUUUGUAUUUGUGAUAUAACAAGUCUAGAAGCUAGAAGUGUUGUCAUUCACAUAAUAAGAUUACUCUGUCUCCUUGGGAAAAAAACUUUAUGGAGGCUGUUUGUCCUCUCAAUAUGGUUUUAAGAUUGAAAGUAAGAAAACGGAUUUAGGAUGAAAACUCUAGAACUACCCUAUGCUGUUUAUACUGGGAAAUGCUUUGUACCAAGUAGCAGUGACUAGACCCACAGACAUGAAAAGCAACCUUAGGAGUAAAGUGACCCAAACAUUAAAAUGACAGGAAAGAGAAAGUAGAAGCAGCAAUAAAUACUGCCCCAACUUUCCUGGAGCCCGAGGCCUCAUCCAUAGCUAUGAUCACUUGCCCUCUGAAGCUUAUUUUUGCUUCUUUGGUUUUAAGAAUUGAGAAAUAUCACAUUGCCCCUGAUGUUUUGACAGUCUCCUAGUGCUCCUGGUAGUGCCACUAAGGGAAAACCAAGGUGCGCAUUCCUUCUCCCUGGACUUUACCUUACUUGUUAGUCUACGCCCCACUGUUUUCACCCAUCCCCUUAGCCAACCUCUGUCUUUUUGAAUUUUCUGAGAAUAUUGUCCUAUCCUCUUUUAUAUAUGGAGUUCUCUCCUCUUUAUAUCCUGAGACUUUGACACCAGAUGUAGAUAUUUAUCUGGAGCUGGAAAGAAAAAUUCUUUUUCUGUACCUCAUGCCUAUCUGGUAAUGUUUAAUGGGUUAUUUCUCUUUGAGGGUGGCUUUCUCUGGAACAUUGGUUAGAGCAGGUUUGUUGUCGUGUUUCUGGAUUCUCUUCCCCAUUUUGCGUAAAUAUUGGUCUUAUAUAUUCUUGCCUAUUUUGUGGCAUAUGCCACAUAAAAAAUGAACCCUGAUACAGACAAGUACUACCUUUUCAAAUUCUGAAAGGCUAUUACCACUUUAACUCUUUGUGCUCCUCCAAAUAGCUUUAAAAUGUGGGCUUUUGUGAAGACCACUUUCAAACAAGGGAGCACUGAAACCUGAAUUGGAUACUGCCAGAAUAGGUAGUUUUGAAACAAGUUAAGGACAUGGUAUAUGCACUCUGCAUUUUCAUUGGCAGUGUGCCCUUAAAGCCCUUUCAGUAGAUGAGGGUUGUCAGGGAGGAGAAAUGAAGAAGCUAUGUUAAUUUCUGGUGAGUAAGACCUGGGGAAUGUUUGGCAAUGACAAAAGAAAUAAAUGACUCUCAGAAA